GCUCUGUGGCUGAGUGGUUUAUGUGUAUCACUCUUACUUAUAGGCUUUUGCAGCAGGUCCGGUGUUCAAUUCCGCUGGCUGCG